rnacentral:rRNA from 1 species
ACGCUCGACACCUACGGGAGGCAGCAGUGGGGAAUAUUGCACAAUGGGGGAAACCCUGAUGCAGCGACGCCGCGUGAGUGAAGAAGUAUUUCGGUAUGUAAAGCUCUAUCAGCAGGGAAGAAAAUGACGGCACCUGACUAAGAAGCCCCGGCUAACUACGUGCCACAGCCGCGGUAAUCUGAGCGGCUGGCAAGGC